rnacentral:rRNA from 1 species
ACGGGACCUUUCGGGGUCUAGUGGCGGACGGGUGAGUAACGCGUGAGAACAUGCCCUUAGGUUCGGGACAACAGUUGGAAACGGCUGCUAAUACCGAAUGUGCCGAGAGGUGAAAGAUUAAUUGCCUAGGGAUUGGCUCGCGUCAGAUUAGCUAGUUGGUGGAGUAACGGUUUACCAAGGCGACGAUCUGUAUUUGGUCUGAGAGGAUGACCAGACACACUGGGACUGAGACACGGCCCAGACUCCUACGGGAGGCAGCAGUGGGGAAUUUUCCGCAAUGGGCGAAAGCCUGACGGAGCAAUACCGCGUGAGGGAGGACGGCUUUUGGGUUGUAAACCUCUUUUAUCAGGGAAGAAACAAAUGACGGUACCUGAUGAAUC